rnacentral:rRNA from 1 species
AUUGAACGCUGGCGGCAUGCCUUACACAUGCAAGUCGAACGGUAACAGGUCUUCGGAUGCUGACGAGUGGCGAACGGGUGAGUAAUACAUCGGAACGUGCCUAGUAGUGGGGGAUAACUACUCGAAAGAGUGGCUAAUACCGCAUGAGAUCUACGGAUGAAACAAGGGGAUCGCAAGACCUUGUGUUACUUGAGCGGACGAUGGCAGAUUAGGUAGUUGGUGGGAUAAAAGCUUACCAAGCCGACGAUCUGUAGCUGGUCUGAGAGGACGAUCAGCCACACUGGGACUGAGACACGGCCCAGACUCCUACGGGAGGCAGCAGUGGGGAAUUUUGGACAAUGGGCGCAAGCCUGAUCCAGCAAUGCCGCGUGCAGGAUGAAGGCCUUCGGGUUGUAAACUGCUUUUGUACGGAACGAAAAGCCCUGGGUUAAUACCCUGGGGUCAUGACGGUACCGUAAGAAUAAGCACCGGCUAACUACGUGCCAGCAGCCGCCGUAA